ensembl:ncRNA asRNA:CR44972 antisense RNA:CR44972
AGUGCAUCCUUGACCGCAUUGACGCCAGUCGGCAGUGGCACAUGAUUCAUGUCGACCGAAGAGUGCGAUUGCGACAGGUGCGGCGCCGUCAACCCAUUUGCCAAGCGUGCUUCUCCACAGCCAGCUCCAACUGCAGUUCCAUCCCGUUCGUCGACCUCAUCCCUUUGCGUUCGUUCGAUGUAGCGAAGAGUGCUGAAUAGCUCCAGCAGAUUGCCAAAAGUGUUUCGCAGAUCGCACUGGCCCGUGAUGUCGAAGCACAGCUGCGAAACAUUCUGGCGCAAAAGGUAGAUGGCAUACUUUGUUUGCUGCGACGGCAAAAUGGAGCGUGUAUACAGAGGAAAUCUAAGAUGGAACAAUAAGAUACCAAAAGAAUACGGUUCCUCAGAGGUCGAUCCAUAAUGAUGGCUAACAUCUGCACCAAAUGGGCAACAUAACCCAGUGCCGCACUCACUGCCAGCGGCGAGACGUUAUCCAGAAGCUGUGCGUUUGCCGCCUGACGUGACUCGCUCGUGUAUUGCUCCAUGUGGGGGAAGGCGAUGCCGCAGAUACUAAAUUGCCGACCGCCCACAUUCUGGAUGUUAUAGAUCUCCUGUAGCUCCAACACCAGUGUGGACAUUCGGCGCUCCACCUU